CAGGACUGCCUUUUGGGAACUGCCUGCUGGUCAGUGAUGGCCCCUUCAACAACAGCACGGGGGUUCCUUUCUUCUAUGUGACACCCAAGGACCUCCUGGUGGCUGAUCUGAUGAAGAACCCCACGGCCUCCCUCCUGCUGCCGGAAUCCGAAGGAGAGUUCUGCAGAAAAAAUAUCGUCGACCCAGAAGAUCCCCGCUGUGCCCGGUUAACGCUCACUGGCCAGGUGGUCGCAGUGUCUCCAGAAGAAGUGGAAUUUGCCAAGCAAGCCAUGUUUUCAAGCCCUGUGAUCUGACCACCAUCCCUCUCGCCCCACGUGACUGGGAAGGAGACCGGGCAGGCUUAAGAGAGCAGACGGCCCAUGAGGCAUCCCAGCAGCUGAACUGGAGUUCGAACAAAGUUGCCUGGCUCAAGACUUGAGCUGUCUGCCCCUCUGUGGUGACAACAGUUUCCUGCCCUCCUAAGGCUGCCCCAGACCUUGACCCUGGCUCCCUGGCUUCUGCCUCUAGCUGGUUUGAGCAGGUCUCAGCCUAAACACAGCCUGGCGUCUGGAGGGCCCUAUGACCUGACCAAGGAUACAUCUGGCACUGUGCUCUGGAGAGCCCGCCCUCUGAUGAGAGCAGCUUUAAUGUGACGUCUUUAUUUCUGCAGACACCCAGUUAUGAGGAAGUGGCCUCGUCAGUAUGAAUGGUUCUUUAUGAAGAUGAAGAUAGAACAUAUCUGGCUUCAGAAAUGGUAUGGAGGAGUAGCUGACGUUUCCAGGGAGGAAUAUUUCAAAGCAGUUCCAAGAAAGGCCUGAUGGAGUGAGAAGAAGGUCCUUGGUGUUUGCGUAAAAUGAAAACCUUUUGAGCGGUGCUGCCAGACAGUCAUUGACUGCCGUCUCUUUGAGAAAGGGUUCAUCGCAGCCCUGUCAAUCUCUCAGCAGAGCGAGAGUGGGUCACCAGGGACCCCUGUGCUAGCUGGAGAUUGGAGUGGCCAUUUGCAAAGGGCCAGAUCACACAGGGACUUCACAUAGAGAGUCUGUUUACAUGUGUUCAGUCCAGACUCACCUAUGUGGGAUCACUGUUGGUUGUCAAAGUGACAUGUUGAGACAGCUGCUGUUCCAUUCUUUAAGAUAAAAAAAAAAAAACCCUAUGCCUGUAUGUACAAUGUGAUUGCUUUGUAUCGUGAGAGUAUGUUUGUUGCUUGUUGUACCCAAAGCAGUGUCCUGGUUCCAAGCUCAUUGCAACCACAGAAGAACUAAAUACGCAUCACACAGCUGCCGUCUUGUGUUUAGGGUGAGGGUGCAGGACUCUUUGUCUAUGGGUUACCAUCCUGCUACAGAAUGGCAAAUGCAUUAUUGAGCCCCGUUUGCUAGAAUGUACUGGUCACUCAUGAAGCUUUUUUCCCACUGCAACAUGACAAACCAUGUGAGAACCCCCCGAGUUUGGUGCACAGCCCUAUUCUAGGUAAUCGGGCCAUGGUGGUACAUUAAGGGAGGGGCAGCUUCGGCAACAGGCUCCCCAGAUCCCCUCUGCUAGUGCUGGGAUAGAGGGUCCCCUUCUCUUAGGCAUGGGGAGUGGUACUCAGUCUGUGGUAUAGAGAGAAGAGGGGGACAGGGAGAGGCUGGAAAGGAAGCAAAGGCAACGUAUAAGAAAAGGAAGGAAAGAAGUAAGUAACUGGAGGCACGCUCCCUACGCAGCCAUGGGCCAGGCCCUUGACGGGGUCAUCUCACUGAAGCCUUACAGCCAAUGAGAUGAAUCAUCAUUGCCACUUACAGACAAGAACACUGAGGCUCAGAGAGGCUAAGUCAACAUCCCAGGGUCUGAUUCCACCACUCACCACACACAAGGGAGAGAGCGGUACCUAGACAAUUUCCAAGUCUAAGAACAAGACAAAAGAGUUACUGGUAGUCAUUGAAUCAGUAAAAUCAGUAAAGCGAUGACUAACCUGCCUGUAGAUUGGCCACUGUUUUCUACCAAAAAAGAAAACAAGCCUCUGAAAUUUGAUUCUUAUUACAGAUUUUAAAUUUUCUACAAAUUGUAUGCAGGAGCACCUGCGUUGUACCUGUGUAUAUACCUAAGGCCUACAAGGACCUAUGUGUAUACUUCCAAGACCUCUUACAUUGAAAUUUAUAAAGGAUCUAUCUAGCACUACCCAGUUUUCUGCCUUUUUAUAUGUCUCUAAACCCUCUUUGGUCAGUUAGGUAUGUUGUAUAAAUAUAAAACUACAAUACACAAAAUAUAGGAAAUAUACAUUUAAAAAAUAAAUAAUAGUGUUAUUAAUGGUUACACUUUUGUUUAAAAAAUUAAGACACGAAGAGAGUUUGAGUUGUCCAAAUAUUUUUCAGUGCCUGUUACUAAAAGCAUAGUAAGAUGCACAGAAUUCUUUAUUUAUCAAAAGUCAAAUCACGAGAGUGUUCCUUAACAAUAGCAAUUUCUAAUAUAUAAGAAUAAGGUGACUUUGAGGGUAUUUCAUAUUUUCAGAGUCUAAAAUUGUUGCUACCCCCAUUUAGAGGUAAGAGGGGAAAACUCUCAACCUCAAAUUGUAAUUCUCUGAACGCAAUUGUAAUUCUCUGAACGUCUCUGUGUCCAAGUCCCGUCUGAAAGGUAAUUUUCCUAACGCUAGUUUUGCUUUUACAGUCAGGUUUCACUUAGCUUGUUAAAGCUCACUCAGCUGCCUCAAGGAGUUUUGCAGCUUAACCACUGAUGACGGUUAUCAGUUAUUUAUCCAAAUUACAGGGAAUGGAAUCUGAACAGGUUGGAUGAUAAGAAGAGUGUUGAAAAGGCAUCUGCUUGAAAGGGAACCCUCUUGCACUGUUGGUGGGAAUGUAAAUUGAUACAGCCACUAUGGAGAACAGUAUGGAGGUUCCUUAAAAAACUAAAAAUAGAAUUACCAUAUGACCCAGCAAUCCCACUACUGGGCGUAUACCCAGAGAAAGCCAUAGUU